rnacentral:rRNA from 1 species
CAGUGGGGAAUAUUGCACAAUGGGCGAAAGCCUGAUGCAGCGACGCCGCGUGGGGGAUGACGGCCUUCGGGUUGUAAACCCCUUUCAGUAGGGAAGAAGCGAGAGUGACGGUACCUGCAGAAGAAGCGCCGGCUAACUACGUGCCAGCAGCCGCGGUAAUACGUAGGGCGCAAGCGUUGUCCGGAAUUAUUGGGCGUAAAGAGCUUGUAGGUGGCUUGUCGCGUCUGCCGUGAAAACCCGAGGCUCAACCUCGGGCGUGCGGUGGGUACGGGCAGGCUAGAGUGUGGUAGGGGAGACUGGAACUCCUGGUGUAGCGGUGAAAUGCGCAGAUAUCAGGAAGAACACCGAUGGCGAAGGCAGGUCUCUGGGCCAUUACUGACACUGAGAAGCGAAAGCAUGGGUAGCGAACAGGAUUAGAUACCCUGGUAGUCCAUGCCGUAAACGUUGGGCACUAGGUGUGGGGGACAUUCCACGUUUUCCGCGCCGUAGCUAACGCAUUAAGUGCCCCGCCUGGGGAGUACGGCCGCAAGGCUAAAACUCAAAGGAAUUGACGGGGGCCCGCACAAGCGGCGGAGCAUGCUGAUUAAUUCGAUGCAACGCGAAGAACCUUACCAAGGCUUGACAUGCACUGGACGGCUGCAGAGAUGUGGCUUUCUUUGGACUGGUGCACAGGU